UCAGUCUUUCAGCUCCUCUUCGAGAAAAUACCAGAGGAAUACACAAGUUAAUGUUCUUAAAAAAAAGUGCUCUGGCGAAGGGGGAUUGGGAGCUCCAUAUAGCAAAUUUUGAGUGUUGGAAAUUUCUCUAGAUGAAGUAAUCAGCGUUUGGGUUAUUAAGCAUCGCCUAGGGAUGGAAUUGGAAAGCUUUAUGAAUGAAUCCUUGAGCAGCUUGGGGUUUGAGUUAGGAAUUUUACUUGAUUGGGAGAAUUGAAAGAAGGGUGUGUGAUGAUCUGUUCAAUUAAGGGUUGCUGGUGUUCAAGCUAAGGAAACAAGAAGGAGCACGAUAUCUAUCUGGGAAGGAGCCUAGAAAAGAUGGGCAAGAUUUGAUUAAAGGAUUUUCCAAUGCCAAAUAUUAUGCGAUCGAUGGAGGGUUCAUGGGUAACUAGCAUUCCCAAAUCAACCAUCGUACGUGUGUUUGCAUUUGGAGUUCACAGAGUAAUACUUGGACAAAACACUGACUACAUGGAAGGAUUUUGACUAAACGGCAGAUGACACACCAGUUGCACCACUGGAUGAGGUCACAUUCUGGUCUGAGAUCCUCAGUGCUUCUAGUUAUCUACAACCUUUAUGCAUUUCAAAUGCAAAACUUUUUUUUUUCCCUCUGCCUCUGGACAUCAUCAAGGAUAGAACGAACUGUUGGACAUGCCAGCAGUUGUUGCAGAGCUACCUGUAUUGAAGGGGUAUGACGGGUCUUCAUAUAUAUCAUUAAGGUCCAAGGAUCGUCCACUCAUAAAAGGGGGACUGGUGGGUGCUGGAAGUAUUUCUUCCCUUAUAAGCAUCUGAAGUGCCUUUGACAUUGUUAGUCGCAGCAAUGGAUUUUCUUGAGUGUAUAAAAGUGCUAUAUGCACAACUCUUAGGAUCUGACUCUUUACAUUGCCAUCAUGGUAAUUUUGUAGCCUUAGAUUGGGAUCAUACAGUUCCUCCACUGUCCCUGCUUGAAAAUGCUUCCAUGCCUAUCUUUGCAAAAAAUUUAUUAAAAAGAGAGGAUUAAGUCUUAUUUAUUUUGAUAAUUGAUAUUUCUGUCAAUAGUUUACUGGGUGGAAGAGAAUUACUGGGAAAGGCUAAGGUAAUGAAGCUUACUUCUGUGAUGAGAGUACUUUCAGUGUCUUCUGAGGAGUUGCUCUUGUUGUUCUGCCUUCCAGUAACCAUUUCCAACAAAAGGACACCAAAACUAUAUACAUCUGCCUUCUCUGUUAGCUUACCAUGGGUUACAUAUUCAGGAGCGAUGUAUCCUCUGCAGAAUCAUUAAGAUAAACCAAAGCGAAAGUAGAUGCUUACAAUGUUCCUGCGAUGGCUGUGCUAAUAUGACUUUUAUCUUCCUAGUAUGUCCUGGCCAAUCCAAAAUCGGCAAUUUUAGCGUGGAGCCUUGAGUCCAGCAAUAUAUUGCUAGCUUUUAUAUCUCUAUUAAUGAUCCUUAUCUUGGAGUUUUCAUGAAGGUAUGCUGUUGAAGAAAUCUCUAUUUGAGUACCUCAUGAAGCACCCAGCGUUUAGCACUCGCCCCUCAGACCAUGGCAAACACACUCUUAUAGCUGCAGAUGCAUUCUCCAAGCAAGCCUUGCAAGAACUUUCGUUCAAUGUCUUCCAACAAUCCG